rnacentral:rRNA from 1 species
AUACGGAGGGUGCGAGCGUUAAUCGGAAUUACUGGGCGUAAAGCGUGCGUAGGCGGUUUGCUAAGUCAGAUGUGAAAGCCCCGGGCUUAACCUGGGAACUGCAUUUGAUACUGGCAGACUAGAGUAUGAUAGAGGGGGGCAGAAUUCCUGGUGUAGCGGUGAAAUGCGUAGAUAUCAGGAGGAAUACCAGUGGCGAAGGCGGCCCCCUGGAUCAAUACUGACGCUGAGGUACGAAAGCGUGGGGAGCGAACAGGAUUAGAAACCCCAGUAGUCC